rnacentral:tRNA from 2 species
GGAGGGGUUCCCGAGUGGCCAAAGGGAACAGACUGUAAAUCUGUCGGCGAUUGCCUUCGGAGGUUCAAAUCCUCCCCCCUCCACCA